AUUGAACGCUGGCGGCGUGCCUAACACAUGCAAGUCGAGCGGUAACAGGUGUAGCAAUACAUGCUGGCGAGCGGCGAACGGGUGAGUAAUGCUUCGGAAUCUACCUUAUGGUGGGGAAUAACUAGCCGAAGGGUUAGCUAAUACCGCAUACGUCCUACGGGAGAAAGCAGGGGAUCGCAAGACCUUGCGCCAAAAGAUGAGCCGAAGUCGGAUUAGCUAGUUGGUAGGGUAACGGCCUACCAAGGCGACGAUCCGUAGCUGGUCUGAGAGGACGACCAGCCACACUGGGACUGAGACACGGCCCAGACUCCUACGGGAGGCAGCAGUGGGGAAUAUUGGACAAUGGGGGAAACCCUGAUCCAGCGACGCCGCGUGUGUGAAGAAGGCCUGCGGGUUGUAAAGCACUUUUAGUGGGGAUGAAAUGUGCAGGGUUAAUACCUCUGCAUUUUGACCUAACCCACAGAAAAAGCACCGGCUAACUCUGUGCCAGCAGCCGCCGUAA
rnacentral:rRNA from 1 species